GCCUUCCUUUGGGCCAGGGCCUUAGGCGACCGCCUAGGUCGCCUAAGGCUUGGGCCGGCCCUGCUUACAGCCCAUCCAUCCCCCUCCCCAUGAGUAGUUUUCCCUGAUCCUCACCUUCGCCCCCUUCUUCAUGUCAUCUCCUCACUACGCCGCCUCAUAGCUGCCCUUCUCGUGCCGUGUGGGCGACCCACCAAGUGUGACUAGCUUGGCCCCGCUGCCUCCCCCGACCGCGACCCCACAUGGCCGAGAAGAGGGAGGGCUCCUACUCCACCGUUGUCCGCCAUCACCACCUCGGCUCACCUCCUUCAUGUCGAUGUUGGGGCAGACGAGCCCUAGAUCGCCCUGCUCCACCUCCGGUAGCCAGUGCUCCACCUUGGCUCUCGAUCGGCCCUCAAUUCCCUCCCAGGUACCAUCCUUCCCCUCCUUACCUCCCUCCAAUUUUGCAUCCGCCACCUUGGGAGAGGGCGCGGGGCUUUUGGCUCACAACUAGUUGUGUCUUCCCCCCGACGUCCGACCUCCCUCCUUCGAAGAGAGGCCCCGAAUCACCGGCCCUUAGGGGCCUGUUCCAACCUCCAGCGGCCCGCUGUGCCCAUAGGCUCCACUUGGGCCCUGAUAGCCCAACCCACUGCGGACCUCCGCCCUCCACGCGGCCAGCGGGCUGGUAGUCCUGGCCCAACCCAUCCUUCAUUGGUCUGUCCUUGGCAUGCACUUUGGGCGGGCUCCAAGCCCGUUUCAACAGGCCCAACCCAGUGCCAACCGCCACCAUAGCCACGUCGCCCUAGGUCGCAUCGGCUCGCUCCGACAGGCCCGAAACCUGCACCUAGCCCAGACCGCAGCCCCCAUUCACCCCCGACUCAGAGCCGGUAGCCCCCAUCCUCACCUCGUCUCCCGAGUUCGCCGGCCGAGCUACCCUUCACCGAUGAUCUCCUUCGUGCCACCUUAGAGGGUUUUUGCCAUCCAUCCAAGUCUGGCGGCGACUCGAGGGAACUCGGUCGAACCCUCGGGGAGCUCGGGCUGAAAUGGUUGGACAACGGACCCGAUGCCGACUCGGGGUGGUUGCGGUUGCCCUCCUCAGCCGCAUCCCGAUGUUAGUCGCCCUUGGUUGUCGGAUCCAGUUAAUGGCCAGCCACGGCCUGAAAACCAAUCGACGGCUCAGACUGGACCCCUCCCCUCCCGACUCCGAAGGGGCCUCCACGAUCAUUAGUAUAGGGAUGGCCCUGAUCUCCUCCUCCUCCGUUGACACCGACAACGCGGGGCGGGGGGAGCGACAUUCCUCCCCCACGUGCCCAAUUUAGGCACACUUGUAGCAAAACGUCGGCAGGUUUUCAUAAAUGAAGGUCUGCCGUGAUUCAUCUCCUCCCCCUGAUGAAGAUCUCUGGCUUAAAGGGUUUUAGGGCAUCCACUUCCAUCUUGACCCGAGAAAACCCUAGUUUCUGUAGCUGAUCUGUGAACCCAUCUAGGGCUAGUGGCCAGCCGGCCACCGUUGCAAAAUUCUAGAUCAACACCUUCUCCCAAUACUCCAACGGGAGGGAGGGGAGCCAGAUCCACACAACUACCCAGUUCAUCGUCUUGACACCAGGGGCACAGUUCGACAUCCAUCGCUCCAUGGCCAAGAGGUGGUCGGCCACCAGCCACGAUCCAUUGGCCAGCGCCUCAUCCCUGUCCCCCUCGCACUUAAAUCGGACGGUCAGGUGCUUCUCUACCAUUGGGAACACCUCGACAUCAUAAUCAAGUUUCCCCCUUAGCCUUAGUUCCCUAGCAUCCCAUUCCAUUGGUACCCACCUUCCUAGACUAUGGAUGAUGAUUGUUGUGGUCGCGCAUGCCUUACGAGCCUUCUCCACCCUCUUCGACGGCAGCUCAAGCACCUCCGUAAAGUGCUUCUAGAGGGUCUCAAGCUCCUCCUCCGAUGGUUGGUCCAUAGUGGCUACCGAGGCGGUGCUCGAGCCACCAUCGACAACGUUAGAAGCUUCUCUACCUUCCUCGGAGUUGGCCAUUCACCACCUACUCAUUUCCCCUUGGCCUUGCCUAGUUUGACCGAUUGGUAUGUGCAUCAAUAUUCGUGCGACCUCAGCAACAUUUCAUCGAGCACUUACUAGUUCACUAUAAUGAGUAAACAGAGCACGGUAAAGAUGAGGGAGGAGAUGGCGGAGGAGGAAUGGAGGGGCAGCGAGUCCAAGGGGAAAGGAGUAGGUGGUGAACGGUCAAAAUUAGUCUCAACUAAUGCAAUAAAAACAUUAUAUUUAUACAAAAGCAUGUAGCAAGAUAGAUGGUGCAAGGUUUUAAACCUUAAGCAAAAAAAAUGCCUCCACACAUCAUGCAAGAUGAUAUAUAACCACCUUCAAUCUUAAGUGCAUUAGUCAACCAUGUCAUCAUUGACACAAUUUUAAUGUUGACACCUGUUAAAGAACAAAAAUUCUCUGUGCACUAGAGAAAAUCGUAUGGAACAGAUUUCCUUUUUUGCCACGUCCCCUACAAUAUGCAUCUUAAUGCAGAAACGUAGGUCAUAUUGGGAAGCAUCUCUCUUACUUACGUCUCGUAACUUAAAUAAAAAAU